GCGCCCCCUGGUGGGCCCCAGAGGCAGCGCACAGCACUGCGGCACGGCUGCGUGGUAGGGCGACGCCGCGGGCGGGGUAGCAAAGCCGCUCCGGUGUCCCUUUCCACUCCUGAGGUGGGCCGCCGGCUGGCGGACUCUGAAGCAGGCCGCUGCACCGACGGCUGGGAGGUGGAGACGCGCGUUUGAAUACUUCGGGGAAAGACAAAUCUCUAUACGGGGACAAACAAGGAGCUUGCGAUGUAGGGAUAGACUCAGGAGGCGUCUCCCACUAACUGGGGCAAUACUAGCCCCUACUGCGCCGAGCGGGGGGUUCACAGCCGGCAAUAUUAUUGGGCGCACAAGCACAACUGGCCACGCUCCACACUCCCAAGCAGAGGUGCACCUAGAGAUGUUGCAGACUAAAUUUGUAAGAACUAUUUUUCAACCUCUGAACAAGGUAUCGAAGAAGGAUUUCAACUUUUCUCCUCUACUGGCCCAUCACCCGCAAAUCAACCCACAAUAAAUGAGCCUCUUGCUGCCACCAAAAUGACAGAAUCAAAUAAAGCACCUGCAAUCUCACCUGACUCGGUACCUAUUUUGAAAGCUGGUGGUCACAGUAUGGAUAUAACACCCUUAAAGGGUACUGGCAAACCCCUUAAAGAUUGACUGAGUAAUAGACUCUGUAAUAUUGUAAUUGUUGAAAUGUUUUAAUCUUUUAUUGGCUGUUUUUAUUGUCCUGUAAACUGCCCAGAGAACUUGUGUUUUGGGUGGUAUAUAAAUGUAUAAAAUAAAAUAAAAAUCCAAUUGA